GGAGAUUGUCUCACCGGCAUAGACGAGCUACAACAAACUUCCAACCUAUCACGAAAUCGCGAUUCGUGGGACUUCAACAUCACAGGCAAUGACAAGCACACACCUUUCUCAACACACAUCUUGUGCCUUGGCUUUAUCCUAUUCUCUAAACUAAACGAGAAAUACUGAGGAAACACAAUCAAUUCCUUCAACUCCCUUCCCAUUUCCACCACAAAGUAAUCGAAUUUCGGCUCCAAAUUCUCCUCUAUACUGUAACAAAACAAUGAAGGAAACCUCCUAAACAUCACCUUGCAUCUCUCCUCGAAAACCCAAUUCUCUGUAAGUAAUCCAAUCGAGGCAUAAACUUAGUCUCCACUGAACAAGAUAGCAAAGUCGCACAUUUCGAAACAUCUUCAAUACCAAUAGUACUCUGUAAGAAGUAAAGGGUCGGUCGGAGAUUCUUUUCUACACACUUUGUGAGUAGCCGGGGUCGUCUACGGAGAACACCCGG
rnacentral:misc_RNA from 1 species